AUUGAACGCUGGCGGCAUGCCUUACACAUGCAAGUCGAACGGCAGCACGUCCCCUCGGAGAUGGUGGCGAGUGGCGAACGGGUGAGUAAUACAUCGGAACGUACCCAGGAGUGGGGGAUAACGUAGCGAAAGUUACGCUAAUACCGCAUAUUCUGUGAGCAGGAAAGCGGGGGAUCGCAAGACCUCGCGCUCCUGGAGCGGCCGAUGUCGGAGUAGCUAGUUGGGGAGGUAAGAGCUCACCAAGGCGACGAUCCGUAGCAGGUCUGAGAGGAUGAUCUGCCACACUGGGACUGAGACACGGCCCAGACUCCUACGGGAGGCAGCAGUGGGGAAUGUUGGACAAUGGGGGAAACCCUGAUCCAGCCAUGCCGCGUGAGUGAAGAAGGCCUUCGGGUUGUAAAGCUCUUUCGGCGGGGAAGAAAUGGCAACGGCUAAUAUCCGUUGUUGAUGACGGUACCCGCAUAAGAAGCACCGGCUAACUACGUGCCAGCCGCCGCCGUAACAC
rnacentral:rRNA from 1 species